rnacentral:rRNA from 1 species
UACGUAGGGGGCAAGCGUUGUCCGGAAUCAUUGGGCGUAAAGAGCGUGUAGGCGGCCCGAUAAGUCCGCUCUGAAAGCCCGGGGCUCAACCCCGGGAGGCGGGCGGAUACUGUCGGGCUAGAGUCCGGAAGAGGCAAGUGGAAUUCCUGGUGUAGCGGUGAAAUGCGCAGAUAUCAGGAGGAACACCGAUGGCGAAGGCAGCUUGCUGGGACGGUACUGACGCUGAGAACGCGGAAAGCGUGGGGGAGCAAACAGG